GGAGUCUUGAGAAUAAGGCUGGAUGAUGGUGAUGACGAGAAUGAAUGAAGAUGGUGAAAUCUGGAAUGGUCUAGUUGUCAAUACUUUAAUGUAGCCAACAUAGCACUUUUGAAAUGGCCUCCGAUGGGAAGGUGAGAUCAGAAAUACGCCUGUGGAACCCUCUACAUGCGGAUCUGGCAAGCAUUCAACACAAACGCAAUUAGAGGGCUUACCCUUGCAUGAAAUAUUUGCUUUCCUGAUAGUCACCAACUUUAAACUUUAGGAAUGCCAGGGCAUAGUGUUUCUGUAUCAGAACUGGAA
rnacentral:lncRNA from 1 species